rnacentral:ncRNA from 1 species
GGUGUCGCAAGACUCAAAAGAGAAGCCGGUUGGAAGCCGGCGCGGUCCCGCCACUGUAGGGGGAGCGCAUCCGCACGGGAAAUCAGGAAUUUCCCGCGAACGUCACUGGAAGGGGCAGAGCCCUUCUGGGAAGGCGCGGAUACGCGAUGAACCAAGCCAGGAGAACUGCCUGUUCCG